AGUUUGAUCCUGGCUCAGAACGAACGCUGGCGGCAUGCCUAACACAUGCAAGUCGAACGAAGGCUUCGGCCUUAGUGGCGCACGGGUGCGUAACGCGUGGGAAUCUGCCCUUGGGUUCGGAAUAACAGCGGGAAACUGCUGCUAAUACCGGAUGACGACGAAAGUCCAAAGAUUUAUCGCCUGAGGAUGAGCCCGCGUUGGAUUAGGUAGUUGGUGGGGUAAAGGCCUACCAAGGCGACGAUCCGUAGCUGGUCUGAGAGGAUGAUCAGCCACACUGGAACUGAGACACGGUCCAGACUCCUACGGGAGGCAGCAGUGGGGAAUAUUGGACAAUGGGCGCAAGCCUGAUCCAGCCAUGCCGCGUGGGUGAAGAAGGCCUUCGGGUUGUAAAGCCCUUUUGUUGGGAAAGAAAAGCAGUCGGUUAAUACCCGAUUGUUCUGACGGUACCCAAAGAAUAAGCACCGGCUAACUUCGUGCCAGCAGCCGCGGUAA
rnacentral:rRNA from 1 species